AUAUAUAUAUAUGCUUUUCCUCACCUGAUGUAUGAUGUAUGUAAGAAAAUGUAAAACGUAAAUAGGUUUUUCUAUGGUGACUUUUGUUCCUCACUAUAUAUGAUAUAAUGUGGUAUGUUAUCCUAUGUCAUGAUUAUAUUUCUUGUAAAAUCCUUCUUUGUAAAACUUAAACAGAUUGAGGUAGGAUAAGAGCCAUUAAAACUGACAAGGAAUAAUUGAAUAAAUAUUGAUCUUAUUAAGAUUAUGUUAUCAUCUUUAUCAUCUAAUGAUUGGUUGUAAUUUAUGUUAUAUUGCUUCAUCGUGUAUGAAAAAGUUCUUAUUAUUCUUAUUUUGAAGUAUAUUUUCACGCAUUUAACAAUUGCAGUCAUAAUCUAUAUCUUAUUUAUCAACUGUCAUCUUAAUAUAAAACUGUAUGAUGUAUGUAUAAUGACCAUCACUGUCGUUUUUAUUAUCAUUAUUAUUAUCAUAACUGCUCGAAAUAACUUUGUGCUCAACCAUUUUUUCACAUUUCUGAAUGGUUCGAAAAUGUUAGAAUCGCCCCCUUUUGUAUUUAUUGAAAAUUUUGUAUUUUAUGAUUUCUGUAUUAGAUGUUAACAGGUUAUGUUUCUUGAUAUUUGUAACAUGAACAGCUGUAUGUGAAGGACACACUUCACUCACUAUCUUGUGCUUUCUUGUAUUUUGUAUAAUUUUAAUGAUUCAAUAUUCAGGUCUGGGAAUGUAGUGCUAUGCCUCAAGUACGACCUCAGUGUUCAAAUGUGACUAUUCCAAAGGUGAAUGUAAAACUCAAGUGUAACCUCAGUCUCCAAGUAUGACCAGUCUUCAAGGGUGAUUUUAAAGGGCUUGGAGUGUGACUUCAGUCUUCAAGGGUGAUGUCAAGGGGCUUGGAGUGUGACCAGUCUUCAAGGGUGAUGACAAAGAGAUUGGAGUGUGACUUCAGUCUUCAAGGGUGAUGUCAAAGAGAUUGGAGUGUGACUUCAGUCUUCAAGGGUGAUGUCAAAGGACUUGGAGUGUGACCAGUUCGCAAGCACAAGCCAGGGCCUUCAUGAGAGACUUCAGCUCAUGUCGGAGAAUCCCAGACUCCAUCGAGGACCACCCUUCGCCAGGGUGUUCGCCAGCGGGAGAGAACUUGGGCUUCGGGCUCCACAAGAGGCUCUCAGGAGUCACCAGAGCCUGAGGUGUUUCCCUGGUCACCUAUCAGGCUUUGGAAGCAAGUUCAAGCCUGAGACAUCAAAAGUUCAAAUCUGAGACAUCACUCUGGACACCGGUUCAAAUCUGGAACAUCCCGCCUCGAGACAACAACCUGGCUAUCGAUUCAAAUCUGAAACAUCCCGUUUCGUUCCAGGUUGAGCCCACACCUGCUAGGGAACCCACUGGUUUUAAGUCCUUGAGUUUAGCCUCAAGACUCACCCAUCUCACCCUCAAAGAAGCAGGCCAGUCUAUUACUCAGCAUGUUAUUACUCUAGUGAAAAAAAAAAAAAAAACAUGCAAGAGGGAUUUGAAGGAGAUUUGAGUGUCACGAUGAGUUUCAUUCUGAGAGGUCACGUAAGAAGCCUUCGAUGUCACACGCAAGAGGUCGGAAGAGGUCGUGUCAGUCUAUCAAAUUAACUUUGUUUAAUUACAUGAGGUUUCAAAUCAUUUAUUGUCUUAAAUAUUCAGUUGUAUGUAUAAAUCUAUAUAUGUAUGUGUGUGUAUGCGUAUAUGUGUGUGUGCGUUUAUGUGUGUGUGUGUAUGCGUGUGUGUGUAUGUAUGUGUGUGUGUAUGUGUGUAUGUAUAUAUAUAUUUGUGUGUGUGUGCAUAUGAACACAUGUGCAAUGCAUUAUUAUCCCAUUGCAUUACCAUAUUCUUCUUGCGAUGACUCGUCCGCUGCUUUCGUUGCAUGCUCGUUUCAUAAAGAUUUGCCUUUUAUUAUGCUAACUCAUAAAUUCCUUUGUUAUAUUGUAUUCUGUUAUUCAUAAAGAUCAUUCUC